UUAUAAUUAUAAUGAAAGUCUUCAUCAUCUAUAUCAGCUUUAUUAUCUUGUCAAUAUUAAUCAUGAAUGGUGAUAACGCUAUAAAUAAAUUUUCAUGGUGCGAUGUAAAAUGUGGACUUCUUGGAUCUAUAGCAAAAAAAAUGUGUUUGAUUGACUGCAAAUAUCUGAGGAAGGGAUAAACGCAUUUAUUACUUAAAAAAAAUGUUUUUUUUUAAAUCCGAAUGAAUAUUUUUUCUAAAAGUAUC